rnacentral:piRNA from 1 species
UAGUCUCGGGAGUCCUACAGGGACUGCGG